AUUGAACGCUGGCGGCAUGCCUUACACAUGCAAGUCGAACGGCAGCACGGGAGCAAUCCUGGUGGCGAGUGGCGAACGGGUGAGUAAAGUAUCGGAACGUGCCCAGUCGUGGGGGAUAACGUAGCGAAAGUUACGCUAAUACCGCAUACGAUCUAUGGAUGAAAGCGGGGGAUCGCAAGACCUCGCGCGAUUGGAGCGGCCGAUAUCAGAUUAGGUAGUUGGUGGGGUAAAGGCUCACCAAGCCGACGAUCUGUAGCUGGUCUGAGAGGACGACCAGCCACACUGGGACUGAGACACGGCCCAGACUCCUACGGGAGGCAGCAGUGGGGAAUUUUGGACAAUGGGCGAAAGCCUGAUCCAGCCAUGCCGCGUGCAGGAUGAAGGCCUUCGGGUUGUAAGCUGCUUUUGUACGGAACGAAAAGGUUUGGCCUAAUAAGCUGAGCUCAUGACGGUACCGUAAGAAUAAGCACCGGCUAACUACGUGCCAGCAGCCGCAGUAAAAC
rnacentral:rRNA from 1 species